rnacentral:lncRNA from 1 species
CAGCUGUGGGGGUCCUCUAUCACUCCCAGUGAAACAGUAUUCCCACUACUUUAAUCACAGAUCACAGAGCGACACAGAAUACUGCUUCCCUUUAGCCCUCCAUGUUGGAUCUCCCAUAUUUCCUAUUUUAAAUGAAUACUAGUGACUUUUAGGAUUCUUUCUUCACAGGCUGCUUUGUAUCGCCUCAGUGGAGACUGGAAUCCCUUACACAUUGACCCUAACUUUGCUAGCCUUGCAGGUGAGUUGAUAGUAUGUAUCAAUGAAGAAUGUUAGCUACUGCUACUUAUGACAGGUAAUUUGAGUAACAUUUUUUAAAAAAGAUCUCUUAUUAUAUUUAUGCUAAAGAUCCAUCUAUAACUAAAAAUAUUUUUUAAAACUAGAUAUGGAAGUAGUGUUCAGAAAAUGAUAUACUUGAAAUUCAGGUUAUGGUGGAGUGAACUCCUGCUAGUGUAAGAUCUAGAAUAGGACUAUGGGGAAGGCUAAGUUAACAUAAAGGACAAGGAUAUUUCUUAGAAGAGAGCAAUGACAGGGAGGAAUCAGUGGUGUACACAGAUUUUGAAAUAGAUCACCAUGGGUGAUUUCAUGUCACAAUUAAAACUAAUAAUUCUUUUUUUUCCCCCAGAUCUCACAUCCUUUUCUUCUUUAUUAAUUUCAUGAUUUUCUAUCAGAAACCACUAUUUGCAAAAAAUAUUUUCCAUGUUUCUUAAAAUAGAUAGUAUAGUUCAGGCUAAUUUAAAAACUAUUUAAAAAAUCCUGAAUUAACUUGGUACUUUUUUUUUUUUAACAUGAAAUUGUCUAUAUCCACCUAAAUUCUGUAUAUUUUUUUAGGCUUUGAAAAGCCCAUAUUACACGAAUUAUGUACCUUUGGAUUUUCUGCCAGGCAUGUUUUACGGCAGUUUGCGGAUAAUGAUGUGUCAAGGUUCAAGGCAAUUAAGGUAUAUGAACAUUAUUAUGUAAUUUGAAUAUUAGUUCUUUAUUUUCUAUGAUUAAAGAAGUUUAGUGUUUAAAAUAAGUACUAUAUUGCAACAAUAGACAUUUUAAUUAUUUCAUUGAGUUGGCAGUCUUCACAUUUUCCUUUUGUAGCUAUAAAUAGCUGUUUUACCCAUGCACCACAAAGGAUAUCCUAUAUGGUUUUUUGUUUUUUUUUUUAAUUGCUUUAAUUUUUUUAAAUACAUGACAGCAGAAUGCAUCACAAUUCUUAUUUCACAUAUGAACACCAUUUUUCAUAUCUCUGUAUAUAAAGUAACAUAUUAAUUGGAUUAUUUUAUAAAUUAGGUGUAUACAUAGAUAUCAGCAUCUGUUUUUAAAAGAUUUUCAUUUUUCUGUUUUGUAAUUUGCGUUAAUUUAAUAGAAAAUGUAAAGUAGCUGUAUUUGAACUCUAACAUGCUUUCUGUAAUGUGAUGGCUGCAUAUUAUUUUUAGUUUUUAUACUUUUCAAAUGUUUAUCCAUUUUAAAUAAUAAGAGAAAAUAUCUGUGCUCUCAGUAUUUUUGCAUAAAGUCAAAAGAUGUACACUUAAAAGUUUUUGAAGGUACUCGAUACUGCCUUAAAUAUUUUAUUAGUGUAUACCCCAUGCAGUAGUGAAAAUGCAUUUUCUGAUGUCUUGCCCUUGAUAACAUUGUUUUCAUGCUCUUUAGUAUCACUAUGUUUAAGUAUAUAAUUGUGUACAGAUUCAAUGAAAUAUAGAAAAUUAUGAACUAGUAAAAAUUACGUUGCUUUAUAUACCAGUCAGGCCUUAUACCCUGACUUAGACCAUGUUUAACUCUUUAAGUACCUGUGGUUGUUAUGUAUGUAACUCACCUAAUGAUUAUGGUUUUGUUUCUUGAUUUGUCAAGAUACUUUGUAGUAUCUUGAUUCAAAUUGAUUCAGUAUUUAAAAGAAUUUUAGCUUAUUAAUGCAGUAUCUAUAGUAUUUCUCUACUAAUUUGUUGAUAGUUUGAGUCUAAACAUUUUUAAGCCUCUAUUUUCUUUAUGCUCUCUAACCACUCUAGUUUCCCCUUCCUAGUAUAAUAGUUUUAUUUUAAAAGGACUUUUAACCCCCACUUUCUUUCCUCCCUCCCUAAAAGACUCGUUUUGCAAAACCAGUAUAUCCGGGACAAACUCUACAAACUGAAAUGUGGAAGGAAGGAAACAGGAUUCAUUUUCAAACUAAGGUAUGAAUAAUGCUCCUGAUAGCUUUUGUUGUUGU